rnacentral:ncRNA from 1 species
UGUCGUUCAAGGCACAACAUCCGAAAGGGUGUGUCGCAAAGCCAGAGGGUCUAAGCCCUGAAGGGGGUAUGACAGCCGUGCUGCCGAC